UAAUACCGCAUAAUAUGUUUUGGUCGCAUGACCUAGACAUCAAAGGAGUAAUCCGCUUUGAGAUGGACCCGCGGCGCAUUAGCUAGUUGGUGAGGUAACGGCUCACCAAGAGGACGAUGCGUAGCCGACCUGAGAGGGUGAUCGGCCACAUUGGAACUGAGACACGGUCCAGACUCCUACGGGAGGCAGCAGUGGGGAAUAUUGCGCAAUGGGGGAAACCCUGACGCAGCAACGCCGCGUGAAUGAUGAAGGCCUUCGGAUUGUAAAGUUCUGUCUUCUGGGACGAUAAUGACGGUACCAGAGGAGGAAGCCACGGCUAACUACGUGCCAGCAGCCGCGGUAAUACGUAGGUGGCAAGCGUUGUCCGGAUUUACUGGGCGUAAAGGAUGCGUAGGCGGAUAUUUAAGUCAGAUGUGAAAUACCCGAGCUUAACUUGGGUGCUGCAUUUGAAACUGGGUGUCUAGAGUGCAG
rnacentral:rRNA from 1 species